CAGAGCAGGGCUGAACUGUUGGCCAGGGCGUGGUGGGGGAGGCCCCGAGCAGGGCGCAGGCCGCGACGUGCCCCUCUCGCGAAGGAGGGGAUGGCCUGUGCUUGCCGCUGUUGGGCUCUUUCAGGGGUUGUGGCUUCGGUCUGAUGUGUAGUAAGUGCGCUGAUCUUACUCGGCGCUCGUCAGGUGUGGCGUAUUGUGCCCAGCAGGAGGAGCUUUGCUCCGUCCUAAAGGCAAAUCCCCGCACUGUAGACUGUAAUGCUGUCCGCUCCAGAACUAUAGAGACUUAAGUUGGCUCGAAGGAGCUGAUGGAAUGGAUGAGAUGGCAUAAGACCUUUCAAGAUGGUGCUGAAGCAGCCGAGCUAACUCGCUUCCGUGUUUUGUUUCCUGCAUCAGCUGCCCAGUGUUGGCAUGGCUUAGCCUGCUGAUCAGCUCUCAGAUGCUGUCUUGGGCUCCGCAAGCCCUUGAGUCCAGCAUACCCUCUGGCUGGCUUGGAGGAGGGAGGCUUGUGAGUUGCAGUUUCUUGGACUGAACAGUCAUCCCCGCUCAUGCUAGUCUCCCUGCUGGGGAAUGGGAAAUGAUCCCUCUGUCAAACUGGAGAUUAAUUAAAUCUUUGUUAAUUUUAAGAAGAUCGGACUUCCUUUGCUAAUGCUGAAAUAGCGUGUGGAGGAUCUUCCCUCAAAACUGGGAGGGAGGGCAGGCAUUCAGUGAAGACUUGUAUGGUAUGUGAAAUAAUGUGUUUUCUAGUUACAGCUCAUUCCUGUGCAAUAAAGUGCUUUACUGCCUCAAGAAGAUACUUCACUGAAAGGAGUUAAGAAGAGUUGUGUAGUCUUCCUGGAAGUCUUGGCUAAAGUCCUAUAGCGGUAAAAUAGCUUAGGAAAAGGGGGUUAUAGGCUUUUAUUUUAAAAAUAUUUUGGCCUUUCCUGGAGGUAAGUACAGUGCACUUGCUCAGGAUAAUGCUUUGCAGUAGUAGUGCACGGGUGAAGUAGCCUGUUUACCCCAUGGUAUGGUCAACGUGGUGGAGGGAGGCUUUCAUGAGAAAUGUUCUGUGAUGCAAUUACUUAACCUAACCUUUGCAGUCUUUCAAGAUUUGUUAAAACUGCAGCGGUACAUCCAGUUCUUCCAUCUCCUUAAAUGUAAUUCCCUCCAGUUUGGAAAAAAAGCGGGGGGGAAAUCAGGAAAGACUAGUUCUCUGCCUUCCCCAUUCAUUCUCCCAUAAAAUAUCCGUUUUGUUGGGAGAGGAGCUGCAAAUUACAUAGCCGCCCUUCCCUCCCCACCGCAGCUUAUGUAAUUUUGCCAUAUUCCUUCCUGGAGAAAAGGAGUGAAGAGAGUAUAACAAAUUUUUGCUCCUAUAACUUUCAGUAAAUAAUUGCAUGUACUUGAAUAAUUCUGAAUUACAGAAUAUAGCCUCCUUUAUAUCUUUUCUUAUUCUGUGUUGCUAGUGUGGAUGAAUUAUCUUUUGGAUUAGUUUGGUUUCUUUGGAGGGGGGAAUUUUAGACUUAAAGCCUAUCCUUAUAUCCAUGCAACUGCUUGUCAAAUAAGGAAGGUAAGUAUUGUGAUGGCAUAAUUGGGGGGGGGGGGGCUAACUGGGAAAAAAAAAAAAGAAUGCUAAAUUUUUAUCCAAGACAAGUCUACUAACCUAAUGACUGUUUACCUUUUUGUAGUUAAACUGCUUAAGCAACAGUUUGUUUCACAUGCAUUGAUUUCCUUCCUCCCCACCUCUUUCGCAGUGCUCCUGCUCUGGGGAGGUGGCAUGGAAACAUCCUGCUUUACAAAUACAAUUAUUUCUUUCAAUGUUUCUUCAUCUGAAGAUGCUGCUGAUAUCACAGCUGAGAGUUGCUAUUGCGUGUUGAAACGUGGAAAUAAUGAAAUGACUUAAGCGACUGUCCAAGUGAAUGCAUCAGGCAAGGGACAAGUACAAUAGAAUUCUGCAUGUUUUAUAGGUCACUUUCAUCAGUUCAGGGGUGUCUAAUGUUUAUCAGUGUAUGAAUCUUGCUCAUAGAUUACAACUUCUCAGAUUCUAAUGAUAAAACCUGCUAUAUGUUUCAAGCCUGCACGUUCUCAUCACAGUGUUCACUUUGAAAAUGCUACUGUCAGAGUGUGUUUUGUGACUCAACAGGUCUUAAUUGCAAGAUCCACAAAAGGUAUACAAGCAAUCUACAGCUCUGUUGCAGAAAUACCUGUUAUCUCAACACUGUAUAUAAAAAGACUUAAGGUGAUUUGCAGAACUGAAGGCCCGCCUUUGGCAUUUCUUAUAUACAUAGGUAUAGUCCAUUUUAAUGUGGUCUUUGAAAACUUAAUCCACUCUGCAUAUGAUCGUGAGGCUGCUAUCCUGUUACAUCUGUCUGUACUUAGGUCAGCAUCCUACACUGCAGAAACUGCAGGUUGUCUGCUGCUAAAGUGAUUUUAGUCACAUGGGUCUUAGGUAAGUAGCCACCUAGCGACCUGAAAAAUCACUGGAAGAGGUUGGACGUUCCUGCGAGAGGGAUGGGAGGGAUGAAGAUACUGUAAAAAAAUGUAACUACUCUGUUUGUCUUCUCAAGUUGGCUAGCCAAGGUCAUAUGUAGGAAUCUGGCUUCAUAUCUCAGCUUUCAUUCUAGCAAGUUACUCACUUUUUAUGAAAACUUCAGGGGGUUAGCUGUUACAAAUUCAGCCUGUGCUGGAUAGCCUGCUAAACAGGUCGACAAUCUGGAUGAGAAAUACGUAAGUUUAUGAGCUUAAAGGUGACAUAAAAAGGAUGAACCUUACGAUUCACCUGAACUGUGUAAAUAUGCUAUGUGAUAACAUGUAAUUUUUAAUGUGUUUGGUGUCUUGGUAUCAACAUCCAUGUCAGUGCACCGUGGCAAACUGCUGUUAAAAUAUUGGUGCUUUCAGAAUUCCUGCAUAUUAGUUGUCAGUCCUUCUUACCAUGUGAACUAGCUGGGUUAAAAAUUUGUAUGCGCUCAAACAGAAAGUGGAGGAUGAUCUUUAAAGGCCUAAUAACGAUGACUGACUUGAACUGUGCUAGUCUUGGCACAUAAAACUGAAUUUUACAAUAUUUUCUUGGUUAUCCCAGCCACAAAUCUUUGUAAGAGCUGCCCAUGCUUUCUGGCUGGGGCAUGGGGUCGUUGGAGAUGGGCUGGGAAAGAGAACUGAGAGUUGAGAAACUGCCACAGACCGUUGCCCUUUUAGAGUUUAUAAUGAGGGAGAGGGGUAAACUACUUUACCCUCACAUUACUGCUCUGAUUUUAGAAGCUGAAGAAAAUGCUGUGAAGGUUUUUGAUAUGUAAUGGCUUACAUAGGGCUGCUUCCUGAAGAGUUACUGGGGCUGCAAGGUAAAAGGAGAGUGAAUUCAGCUUGAGAUAUUACUUUUAUAUGCCAUGUAAAUACUUGUAUGUGGUGUUAUUUUUUCCCAGUUUCUUAAUGAUAACGAGAUGGAGAAAAGGAUCUGUUUUUAAAUGCUGCUACUUUGUUCUUAAGGGGAGAGAGUUCAGAAAAAUACAGCACAAGAGCAAUGCUUUAACAGCAGUCAAGAACCUUUCUAAGUAGCACGGACGUGUUCUCUAAUUGAAAUACGGCAGCAGUUCAAUAGCAGUUAUGCAGCAGGAAAGUAUGUGCAGGCUACUGCAAGUCCCUGACCUCAUAGGAACUGGUUUCUGAAAGAACGGCUGAUUUUAUCAGAGAUAAAAACUCAGGUUCUUCCAGAACUUUUAACUCCUUUUGACUUUAAAUGAGACCUAACUGUAAUACUGAAAUAGGUAAUAAUUUUUAUCCUAGGCACUGGGGAGGGGGAUCCACAUAGGCAAUGUGAUGGACCUGGGGAAAAACUGACUGUCCAAGUGCAAGAGAUUGCAGAUGUGAAACUUGCUCUUGGGGAAGGCACACUGGCACGUCACAAAACUCACUGACGCUUCUGCAGCUUCCAAAAUAGUGUGUGUUGUGUUGCUGCUCCUUGCUAGGUAUGGAUAUAUCCCUUCAGGUAGGGUGGCCUAAAAUGACCAUUGAAAAUUGUAGGGUCACAGCCAAAGCAGUCUCCCAGUUCUGUUGAGAGUAUAUGUGCAUCUGUACAGUUCAGAACCACCUGAACAGCACCAGACUUGGUCAAAUUGCCUGAGAAUAUUGCCUGAUUAAAAUAGGUGGCUUGGUCUACCUAACUCCUGCUGAGCUCUCUCAGGCUUGCUGUGGAGCACUGUGCUGAAGAUGAGUCUUCCCCGCCCGUGGAGUGCCGCAGAGUAUGGCGCACAACUGUGACUCGGGGUCCAGUGGCAAGUGUAAAUCCUGUGUUUUUUGGCAUUCUAGCUUUAGUAUGCACAAAUAUAUCAGCAGUUAAUGUGGGACAAGAAAGAUCGGUGCUGGGGCUGUGGGGCUUCAAACGUGCUUUGUGUGUGCAGUGCACACUUCAGCACAAAACUUAAACGGAUUGCACAGAGUUAAGUAGGGUAUCAUGCUGAGGCUACACGGGGUGUGGACCCCUCUCCAUUGCCACUAAUCUUGGGAAGGUCUAUUUUUGUUUGUAUGUAAGUAAACCUGAGCUGGUUACUGACGUUAUUUCACUGGCAAGGCAGUCUGUGUGUGCGUGCCAGAGAGGCAAGUAAUCCACGAUCUGGCAAGUUCUCGAGCAUGGACCAGCUCUUACACUUCAAAAACAAAUUUUUGAGAGUCACAGUAAACUGUUGAAAUUAAAAGCCCACUAAACGUACAUAUUUUAGAAAGAGAAAAUUCUAGAAAACAAUGUUGUGAUUAAGAUAAUGAGACAGUUAUUGCAAUUUUCCAGUGCUGUUCCUCAUCCCUGUUACUAAAGUGGGAGGAGAGAGCAGGGGGUGGAGUGAAAGCCAUAACCAAAGGUGAAAGAGCAGUGUUGCCGUUAUUAUUUUCCAUCAAGUUAUGCGCUGUUAUUAUAUAUUGCUAAGGAAGUCUUGCAACUACAUCGACAGGGUGGGCUGCCUGACUGUCCGUACUACCGUGCUCACCUCUGGUGAUUCAAAUGCAGUGACAUAAAAUUAUAUCUUGCUUUCUAUAUGGUUCAGCUUAAAAUACAAGCCUUUGCAGUGUGAGUACAUAAAGAGCACACAGAGCAUUCCUUGGCAGCAGCCGUUUCACUUAGGGUAAGUAAACACGGCACUGUGGAAGACAUGCAGAACUCCAGGUAGAGCAUUGUUUGAUAGUCUUUUCUAUGCCAGAAUUCCCUGGUUGCCGUAGACUUUGGUGUUUUCCCAAACAUUUAGUCUUUCUGCAGUCUGUCUGUCUCUGCUGUUGGGCCUUUUCACUUUCUUCACGUAGCUGAUGAUUUUUGUUUGCUUUUGCCAUUUCUCUGCAAAUAAUCUCUGGGAACAAGAGUAAGCAUUUCAGGUGCCUGGCCAAGUUUCCACUCACGUGGCUUCAUAUUCCCCAUUCUGUCAAGUAAUUUACAUGCAGUGUCCUAAGGAUGUAGUUUAGUGGAGUGCUACUAAGAAGCUAACCUUUAUGUCUUGGCUUCAGUCCACGUAGGUCAGGUUUAUGUAAGCCUGUUUCCUUACGAUGAGUUCAGUGACUACUCUUUAAAAAUCCCUGGUUUCCUAUUAUGCUAUCUGAGGGAAAAGACAGUGUUACACUGUUCUUGCAAAGUCUUUUGAAAAAAAAAAAAAAAAAAGGAGGGGGGCAGAGUAGGCUUGCUCUUUUCACCUACUGUGUGACCCAGAAUCAUCGGAAUCUUCCUUUUCUGCAUAACAAGACUUGGGGCUCUUAAGGUGCAAAGGGUAGGCUUUCAAUGACUGACAGGUCUGGCGUGUUCCAAUACAGGGCAGAUUCUUAAAACCAGCAUGGAUGUGUUAAGUUGACUCUCUAAACUGCCUUGCUCAUAGCACAGCCCUGUUCUCAGGUUUUGGUUUCAUCCAUAGUGGAGUUUUGUAUCCAGCAUAAUCUUUCUGGCAUGCGUUCUCAGGAGAAGCAUUUCCUGAGUGCUCUGCCUUGAGCUGUCGGGGAAACGUAGUUUCAAAGUGUGGAUGCUUUGGUGGCAUUGCUAGUUUAAGCAGUCCUUUGCUACCUUCUGCCACUUGUACUCCUGUGCUGUGGCACACAGUUCCCUCGCAUGCCGAUGCAGCUAGCUGGAGCUGUAUAGCGAGCUAUCAGCUAAUGAGGCUGUUACAUACCCCCUCUGUCCUGUGUAUUUUUCUUUAGCCGAAAAUGGAAGCAGAGGAGGUUUGUGUUUGUGUGCAUUUUGAAAACCUGGAUCAGGCCAGAUUUAGAGCAUUUGUAAGAUGGCAGUAAAAACAGGCUGCCAGCAUGUAGCUGAAGUCAGGCAGUCCUUAGGCUUUGUUGCUGCGGCCUCUCUUUCAUUAAACCGCAUCUAAGGAUGCUUCUCUGCUGGGGAGGAGCAGCAGCAGCAUGUCCCUUGUGUGCAUGCAUAUUAAGCAUGUUUUUUUGCUUUGUAGGUAUCUGACACCCAGCCAAUUGUUUCACUCUGUGUCGCUCUCUGACCAUGCAAUUGCAGCGUUAGAAAGCCUGAUGUCUGUAAGUAGCAUUGAUGGCUGCUAGACAUAGUUCGGACAAAUCACCAAGGGAGACGAGCUAGAGUAAGAUGUGGAGGUGUUUUUCCCAAGUUUGUCUUUUAGGACUGUUAAAAAGAGUACCAAUUUGCUACAGUUAGGGAAUUAUAUGUUGCUCCCGCACAGCGGGCCAAGUGUACCUUUUAUGUUUUAAUGGAAGAGCAGAUCUGCGAGAAGAGAAUUAGAUGCUAAGUUAUAUCACAAAUGGUGGAUGAAGGGCCUAAUCUCAACUUUUUCCGUGUCAGCAUUUUUGGACUUUCCUGACAGGGCUGAAGUCAGCUUCGCUACUAUGAACUUUCUCAUAAUGCAGGUAUGAUUUACUGCCUCUCCAGAGUGGGGAGUACAGUGUUUUCACUGUAAUUGCUGUGUUUUAGCAAAUGUCAGAUGAAGUAGUAAUUGUGUCCCCUAAGAAUUUGAUUAUUGCUGCUGUUAACCUUCCUGGAAAACAAGGAGCAGAAGUAGAGGCAGAUGCAAUCCUCAGGUGAAUUGGAGGGAGGAUGUUGUGCAGUCAAGUGGGUGCAUCUCACGUGGGAUAAAGGACAGUGCAUGCUUUAGUAGCUCAUAUUAAUGAGGUUGGCUAACCCUCCUGUAAAUCCGCGCCCAUGAGAACUUCCUUCGACACCAGGGUAAAUUGUGACCAGAGCAACUACUGUCCCAAUACUACCUCAUGGAAACAAGUGAAUGAAGCAGGGGAAGGGAGCUGCUUUUAGUAGCUACUCCAGCUCAGUGAAAAUGAAUGAAUUUGGCUACUCUUCACUGGGGACGGAAGGAAUCAAGGGAGCCUUGAGAAGCUUGGUUUGUUGCCCUCGGAAAUGUGGGACGGGGUACCUCUUCCCUCUUGAGAACAGACUGAAAGUGGCAAUCUGGUCCCAGACAAAUACAGUUUAUGCCCGGAUCAUUUUGUUUCUGUUAAAACUUCUAAUCAUGCUUGUCUUUCCAACUCUCAUCUAUGAAGAAGUGGGUUAACGUUGCUAGGAAUACAGCAGCAUGUGAUGUGCUUGGCCAUGCAAGCUGGCAUGUGUUGGGUCUCUCACAAGUUUCCUUUAGCACUAAAGAUGUUAAGUAUUAUUGCUCUCCAGAAUGGAUAGCAUUGCUGGCAUUCAUUCUGAGUGAUGUUACAGCCCCCUUUACGUAGGUUUUACACUAUCCAGAUUAUCCCAAUCUUGCGUUAGUUCAGUUCUCCAGGUAAAUUUAGGUACGCAGCAUGACACAGAGAGCCUUGGUUUGGAAUAUGCUUGCCUUCCUGUAAUAGUCAGUCAUACUCUCUGGUAUGGGUGGAUCUGCCUAUGAUGGUGUGAUCAAUUUGCCAGAUUGUCACUCCUCCUCAAGCAACCAUGCAGCUGAAUUUUCUGCAUCCUGCAGCUUAUGCAUAAGCACAGUUAUUCUGCACCUCUCUGAGGCGCAAUGGGACAGCUACCCCAGUCUUGCCUGAAUUUGCUGCUGGGCAGUCAGGUAGUGACACAGCUGUGAAUGCACAACGUUAUUUGGCUCGUGUCCAUCAGCCAUGAAUGGGGUUUGGUUUUGUCACCCUUUUGUUUCUUGAUAAUGAGUAAGUGUUAAGGUAGGCUUUGUGACAGCAUGCAGGUUUUCCGAACUUUUAAAAACUGUUCCUCUCCUUUUCUGUGAUAGGUUGGUUCCCUGUGUCUUCUGCGUGGUACAUAUGCCCAGUGCUCAAUCUGUAGCUUAUGCCCUGAUGUGUGUGAGAAGCCCUAGGAUAAUUUUGUGUGUGUUUAGUUGUGUGGAGCUGGUGGCACUGGUGGCUGCGGGGUUCCACCUAUUGCACUCCAUUGUUUUAGGAAACUUAAAAAGAAAGCUUGUAGGAAGGAGACCUCCUUUCCUUCCUUUCUCUUGGGAUGUCCUGCCCAGCUUCAGAGCGAGAGCAGGUGGUUCUGAUCACCCUAGUGAAUGGGCAGCCUCAGCCUCUGUUCUCCCCUGCACUGGGUCAUGGGACAGCUGUACCGUGUCCCACUGGCUCUGCUCUAUACAGUGGGGAAGGUGUGGGGACAGUGGUCUCAUGAGCUGCCAUCUUCUCUCCUUGGGCAGGCGUGGGCACUUCUGUCCCCAUGCCUUCUGUGUCUCCCUUCCAGAAGCUCAUGUCCUUCCAAUUUGGGAAUAACUGCUCCAAUAGAUAUAGCUUUAAAAAAAAAGAUAGCUUUAGCACAAGCAGUUAGCCUUUUGAGACGGCGGGCACUGAUGUGUCUUGGUGUGCCAUCGGAUGAAGCUUUCUCAUAGCUGACUAGAGAAAGCUGCUGUGCCUUAAGUAGUCCAUAACAGAGGAAACGUGUCCAAGAAGCCUUGUGUGUGACCUUUGCUAAAUUUGACCAAGCGCCUAAUGUCCUCUUCUCUUGAGAGGCAGUGUGACCAAAUAUUCUUCUGUAGCCCUACAGUGGUAAUCAUGCAAGUGUAGGGUUUUGAAAUCCUCUUGUUAAAUAAGGAGACUCUGAUGAGCUCAUAACACAAAGGUGGCUCUGCGCUUUUUUGGAGGGUCCUGCAGGUCAGAUAUUGAAGGAAAAAACAGGUUUGACCUAGUAGAUGUUUCAGCUAAAUAAGCCCUUGAGAAGCCCUGUGUGUUCUAUGCAAGUAACAGCCAGUUUCAUUUCUCCAUUUUCUACAUGCGUGCUAUGAUCAUUUUAUGCAAAGGUAUAUAAAUGGUAUUUCUUACUAGGCAUUUCUCUUUCAUGGUUUAUGUUACAGCUGCAUGUAUCCACAUGAGACAAAUGAGGAAUAUUUGAAUAACAAAUGCUAAAAUUAGGUCAAAAAUCACAAGAGUUACUGAGCUCAGACUUCAGAGGAUUUGGAUUCUGUUUGGUCACAUUUAGUGGGCAAAUUGUUUACACCUCUCAGGACCGUGUUUGGUCUGGAUGACAUCUGUGAAUCUCUGGCUGCUGUGUUGUUUACAUCAACAGUUUUAUUCUACUUUGGCAUCUUUUAUCUCUGGGGACAAAAAUCUUUCUUCUGGUUCUCAUUACAUCUCUUAAAAAAAAUAGUUCUGAUAACACUGAAGAGGCAGGUGAAAGGUGCUUUCCAUAUGCCAUUUUGUAUUUUUAACCUCUUCACUUAAAAAAAUGUAAAGUAGCACCUUCUGUUUCUUAAACUGAUCAUACCUGGAAUAAGGACAGGAGCUUAUUUACCUGGGGUUAAAUAGACCUCUUCAGCCAUUUGUUUCAAAUACCUCAUUUAAAGAAACAAAUACAAAGCAGAGCAAUCGCUCUAGUGUCCAGAGGCAAAAUGCAUCCCCUCCGAAUACUUUGUCUCUUCUGUAGUGCCCAGUCACUUGGAAUCAUUCCCUUGCUGUUUUCCAGGAGACAGUGAUUCUUGCCCAGUGUUCACUUGGCUGCUUUUCCCUGCAUAGACUGUGAGAAUUGUAAUUGGCCAUAUAUUUCAAAGCUAGUUUCACACUUGGUCAUCAGUGGCAGUUUACUGAGAUUUAGAUACUCCUUUUUCCAAGCUCUGCUGGGGCAGCCUUUGAUGAACAGGCACUGGGUGGGGUUUCUUUGAUUCAUAAUGUGUGUAAUUAUUUCAACUUUAACUUUUGGAUGGCUGAUCUUUCUGUUGUCUAGGAGUGUGGCACUAAAAUCCGUGGUAUCAAAAUUUUGACUUAGGCACUCCUGCUUUGUAGCCCUAGGAUGGCAGAGACUUACAUUUUCAGCCACCUGAUAAGACAAAAAUGUCAUUUUGCAAAUGUUAAGUGAAGACACAGGACCCCAACAUUGCUGGCAAUCAACCAGUCACUAACGCUGAAAUGCAGCAGUGAAAAAACUCACUUUUCAGCAGGCUGAGCAAACGCAGCCCUCCUUCUGGUAUGUUUGGCCUAAAGCGUUCUGCCUAAAAAUUAUCCUCUGGAAAACCAGUUGACAGCACUUUAAAGAGGACGUUCAAAUAAUUAGCAAUACAUCUAUAGGGUGUCACCAUUUUAAUACACUACUAAGUCUACAAGACUACCACUCCUACUUUAAUAAGGGUUAUCUUACAAGGAGUCUUUUUCCUUACAGAUGAAAUGUAACUUCAACCUUCUUGUAAUAUCACAGUUUUAACUACUCAGAUAUCCAUUUUCAUACAUAGUCUGUGGCAUCACUGAAAAUAAUGCAUUUGCUUUUCUGCAUCGAAGGCAUGAAGUGGUUUUGUGUUAUGUCUUUUAAAAAACAGUUAAAUUCUGAAGAUGGAGCCUUGAUUUUUUUUUCAAGAUGGAAACAUAAGACUUUGGGGUUUUUUUUAAUAAAAUGAAUGUAUGCGCUUGCUUAUGGAGUCAAUAUUCAGGCAUAGAUUAUGAUUUACUAGCCAGCCUGUUUUGUUUGCAGAGCAACAGAGAGAAAGAACAUGGAUCACGUUAUCACAGUCAUAAAUUCUCCUCUUAAUAUCUUCUCGCACAUCACAGAAUCUCCUGGGGAUGUGGCCGUAAGUGUAAUUAAACCUGAUGGUGCCAGGGAGGGCCGGAUGCAGCUGCAGUGUGGAUGAGGGAAUGGCAGGGUUAUCCCAGAGCACGUGCAAUGCCCCGUAAUGCCAACAGGCAGUGAGAUGCCUCCAUUGCCUGGGCUCUCCCCCACUCACUUCACAUCUCUGGUUCAAUUCUUCAGUGUAUCCAAAUCCCACGUGGUGCUUCCACAUGCAUUUAGGAAGUAUUGAGCUGUGCUAGCUUUGAAAUUAGGGAGGCUGCUCCAAUUGAUGCUGCUCUUCUGUUGUACUUGUGGGCCUCUUCCAGCAGAGGGUGGCUGCAGGAGUGUUUCAACAUGGCUUUAAUGUAGUUUACUUUAUAGUCUGAGUGAGUGUAAUAGGCCUAGUGCUUCCUCUUUUACCUAAUCCUCCAGUUAGCUUUAUUUAGUAAUUGUAAAUAUAUGACACAGUAUUUAUCUGAGCUUUUUUUUUUUUUCCCCCCCACUUUGCUUUAUGUUUCUGUGGUUCUUCCAGCUAAGAAUAGCCAAACAGUAUACAUAUACAUACAGGAGCCUGCUCCUAAACAUUAUUUGUGCAUGUAUAAUUAUUCUCAUGUGGAGUCCCACUAUUUUCAACAGCUAAUUAUGUGAGUAACUAUUAUGCCGGAAUGAGCUCAGUUCUCAUGCUUGUGUUACAGGGAGACUAAUCUGUCUCUUGAGAUGCUUGUUCCUUUCUGUUGACUAUGGAGGAAGCAGAGGCCAAACUAGCUCAAAAUUAUACUUCUAACCUACACACCUACCUUAGAUAAAUCUCGCCCAUUGUGCCUAUACGCUAGUGUUACUGAUGUUGGGUAAUACCCUGCCUCAUUUUUAAAGGCCCAGAGGUACUUAUCAGAUUUUAUGUGAUCUGAUUUCAUAUCCAGUGGCAUAAAGUAUGCUAGUUACUCAUGUAAUUACUAGGGAGUCAUUAACUUUUCUGAAAUCAGUGGAAUUCCAUAUGGGAGUAAUUGCACAUGUAGAAGCGGUUCAGGCUGUUGUUGACUGAAGAUCUGUUAGGAAGCAAUACGUAGUAAAAGGUAAUAGUGAGUAAUGAUGGAAAAUUGAUCAUGUUCUAAUAUUUAGUGAUUCAUAUUCUGUGUUAAUGUUCUGUUGAGGACUUUCCUACAUAAUAUUUAGAUGUUUUUAAAGGUUUUGAACAAAGGUUCAGAAAUGCCUGUCCUUAGUUUCGGUUGAUUUAUCAGUCAGCUGGAGUGAAGGGCUCAAGUUCAAAUCGGGUUGUAGUCAGCUGUAGAUAGCAGAUGAGGUGAGUCAGAAAAUCUCUGAAGUAAUUUCACUUACUUAAAAGGCAAGGCCUAUAUUUUCGAAACUGAAUUCCUGUAUAAAGUGCUUUAAAUUUAAAAAGCUGGAUAUCAGCAGUUCUCACUUUGGAAGCAUCUCAGAAAUACAGCACAGAUGAGACCUUAGCAUCUACUGAUGUAGAUAACAUUCCUAUCAGUUUGCAGAAAAGAGAGUAACCUAGUGACCAGCUCAAGCAAAAGCUUGAAGAUUUACAAGGCAUCUUCCACAAUGGCUAUCAACAGUAGAUAAUCUCUGUCUCUCUCUCCUACAAAGCACAGGGAAUACCAAACACACCAGAGCAGGAUUUGCAUCCGCUUCUUCUGCAGGGAUCAAGCCUUUUGAACCAGCUUCCAAAACUAUGUCCACAGGACGAGAAGGGUGUUUGAUAUAUUAGAACACAGAGGAACACCACAAUGAUUAAAGGAUUAGAGAAACGGGGUCAGGAGGAUAAGACGAGGUUAUAGCAGAUAGAGGGGUGUAUUCAUGACACGAGCAUAUGCUGUGGCUCUUCCAAAACAGUUUUCCAGUCCACACAAGACUGUACAGAAGGAUCAGGAGGAGUUUAAGUGUGCUCAAUACUUGAGCUCUGUUCAGGGUUAAUAAUAUGGAAAGUCCUGUGUGUGAUUCCUUGCUGUAAUAACCUGUUAGUAUACAUAUCGGCUUUCAGGUUAUGGAAAUGACCUAUGAUUUAUAAAAUAGCCUCUUCCUGUUUGCAAUGCUGCAGUGUAAUAUUGAGUCAUCUCUAACCCUUUAGCCUUCCCUGUACAGGCUCUUUCUCAUUCGGUGUCUGUCCCUUAAGAUUUGGAUUGAUGAAACGGGACAACAUUUUUUUUUUUCCUGGAACUAGACUGAAUUUUAUUACUUUUGGGUGAAUUACUGCCUUUUUCUGGGGAAAAGUUUUAUGACUCACACCACUGUUGAUUUGACUUGUAAGAAAAAAUGCUAAAAUAGAGCUGUGUGUAGUUUGGCCUAAGUUAAUGACUUUUUGAUUUUUUUGAUUGAUUAAUGGUUUUUUUUUUUUUUGAUAAAUUACUCGCAUUCACUGCAAGCUCUAAUCUUUGAUUUCCUAAAGUGAACUUGAAUUAUGUCAAUGUUUUAGCCUUUACCCGUUUCAUGGAGGAGGAAAAUUCUGGUUUGCUUUUGUUUUUUUGGUAUGAUGACAGUCCAAGCUAUACAGCUAGAUUAAUUGCAAGAAGGUCAUGUUCUAGCCUCAGCUUGAUAAGAAUGUUCUUUUGCUCUGUUAAACAGGGCCAAACUAUAAGGAAAGUAUGCCCUAAAACUGUAUUGCAGCUCUGUUGAUACUAGGACCAAAUUCAUUCAAAUCUAUGAAAUUACAUUCAUUGGUGACCUUCUCUUAGAAUCUAGUUCAGUUCCUAACGUGGUUUUGGUUCCACCAACUAAACUGAAGUGAGUUUCAUUAUUGUGUAGUAACAAAAUCUUGCCACGCAAAAGUCUAUUUGCCUAUGAAAAUCUGCUUCACACAUUACAGUCCCUAUAAAGAUUUUUUUUCUGCCAUCUAUGCAGACUUUUCUGGAUUUUGUAGGACGUGCAGGGACUUGUUUGUAUGCCCCAACUCUAUGCCUCUGAAGUGUGUCAUGGCUGCAAACACUCCCAUCCUCAGCUUUUCGAGCAAGUUGUAGGCACUUUCCCAAUUACCUGACUUGAAGUGGUUUCUUGCUCAGAAGAAGGAUUGUUUUGUGUCGUGUGCCAAGGCACCUCACUCUCCUCCUGUAGGGUACUGAGCCCAGGUGCCCAAGAGGAAGGUCUGGGUUCAGCUGGAAGAUAGAUAUUGCAAUGCUCCACCGGAUCAUGUUUCACUGCCUUUUGGAUUGAGCUCCUAAUCCUACUGAAAUCUCAACAGUAAGGCAUCUGACCCUUCAAAGGCUGAGAUGGAGAGAGUUUCUGAAAACAAGACGUAAAUUCUUUAUGCAGGCUUGCACAGUUGGAAAUAUAGCGUGGGUUAAAAUAAAGCCGGUUGAAUGCUCUCA